AGAGUUUGAUCCUGGCUCAGGAUGAACGCNGGCGGCGUGCCUAAUACAUGCAAGUCGAGCGAACAGAUAAGGAGCUUGCUCCUUUGACGUUAGCGGCGGACGGGUGAGUAACACGUGGAUAACCUACCUAUAAGACUGGGAUAACUUCGGGAAACCGGAGCUAAUACCGGAUAAGAUUUUGAAACGCAUGGUUCAAUAGUGAAAGACGGCCUUGCUGUCACUUAUAGAUGGAUCCGCGCCGUAUUAGCUAGUUGGUAAGGUAACGGCUUACCAAGGCAACGAUACGUAGCCGACCUGAGAGGGUGAUCGGCCACACUGGAACUGAGACACGGUCCAGACUCCUACGGGAGGCAGCAGUAGGGAAUCUUCCGCAAUGGGCGAAAGCCUGACGGAGCAACGCCGCGUGAGUGAUGAAGGUCUUCGGAUCGUAAAACUCUGUUAUCAGGGAAGAACAAACGUGUAAGUAACUGUGCACGUCUUGACGGUACCUGAUCAGAAAGCCACGGCUAACUACGUGCCAGCAGCCGCGGUAAUACGUAGGUGGCAAGCGUUAUCCGGAAUUAUUGGGCGUAAAGCGCGCGUAGGCGGUUUUUUAAGUCUGAUGUGAAAGCCCACGGCUCAACCGUGGAGGGUCAUUGGAAACUGGAAAACUUGAGUGCAGAAGAGGAAAGUGGAAUUCCGUGUGUAGCGGUGAAAUGCGCAGAGAUAUGGAGGAACACCAGUGGCGAAGGCGACUUUCUGGUCUGUAACUGACGCUGAUGUGCGAAAGCGUGGGGAUCAAACAGGAUUAGAUACCCUGGUAGUCCACGCCGUAAACGAUGAGUGCUAAGUGUUAGGGGGUUUCCGCCCCUUAGUGCUGCAGCUAACGCAUUAAGCACUCCGCCUGGGGAGUACGACCGCAAGGUUAAAACUCAAAGGAAUUGACGGG
rnacentral:rRNA from 1 species